GCAAUCUGCAACUGGCCCGCCAGUACCCGAGUGUGUUCCGCUCGCUGUUGGGCAUCUCGUGGAUGUGGUUCUUCGGGGCGGUGUUCCUGGCACAGUUUCCCUCGUUCGCCCGCGAUGUGCUG
rnacentral:ncRNA from 1 species